rnacentral:tRNA from 1 species
UGGGAUGUGGCUCAAUUGGUAGAGUACUUGCUUAACAUGCAUGAAGCCCUGGGUUUGAUCCCCAGCACUGUAC